GUACGACAAGUAGGAAGGGGCAGCUAGUUUGGUGUAUCAGUUUAUAUCAUCAGUCUCACGCUCUUCGUAUUCUCCGUCCUUCCCCUACCACUCUCUCCCUAUUUUAACCCCAUUUUCUUCUCCCCUCUCUCUCCUCCUCCUCUGCGCAGUCACAUUCUCUCACUCUCUUUUCCUCUCAUUUCUCUCUCCUCUCUUCAAUGGCUUCCAUCACCGGAUCAUCCGUUUCCAUCAACUGUCGCGCACAAACCCGUUUCCCUUCUUCGUUUACAUCCAAGAACUAUGCCUUGGUGCCAUCUGUGUCAUUCUCAAGGACAAGCCCAAUGAAGUCGAUUCGCUUGAGUGUCUCUUGUGCUGCAAAACCAGGACAGUUGAAAAGGUCAGUUGUAUAGUGAAGAAGCAAUUGGCUUGGCGGAUGAAACUCAAGUCACUGGUGAAACAAAUUUU